rnacentral:rRNA from 1 species
GAUGAACGCUAGCGGGAGGCCUAACACAUGCAAGCCGAGCGGUAGAGUCUCUUCGGAGACUUGAGAGCGGCGCACGGGUGCGGAACACGUGUGCAACCUGCCUUUAUCUGGGGGAUAGCCUUUCGAAGGGAAGAUUAAUACCCCAUAAUAUACUGGAUGGCAUCAUCUGGUAUUGAAAACUCCGGUGGAUAGAGAUGGGCACGCGCAAGAUUAGAUAGUUGGUGAGGUAACGGCUCACCAAGUCAGCGAUCUUUAGGGGGCCUGAGAGGGUGAUCCCCCACACUGGUACUGAGACACGGACCAGACUCCUACGGGAGGCAGCAGUGAGGAAUAUUGGACAAUGGGUGAGAGCCUGAUCCAGCCAUCCCGCGUGAAGGACGACGGCCCUAUGGGUGGUAAACUUCUUUUGUAUAGGGAUAAACCUAGAUACGUGUAUCUAGCUGAAGGUACUAUACGAAUAAGCACCGGCUAACUCCGUG